GGAGCUGGUAAUCAGGAUGGCAGUGAGGCAGGCACUUGCUUGCAGAAGAACAGGCCUAGUUUUUUAAGAAGCCACAAAAGUGUCUUUGGAUGAUUAGGAUCUAAGGGGCCAACAGCUUUGCAAUAACAGCAUAAAUAUUGUGGGCUGGAUGGACAGGCACCAAAUGGGGACAUUCCAUCCUGCUGUGUGAUGAGAAAGCUGCCACUUCUGAGGCCUUCCAAAACAAAUCAACACUCCAUAUGCCAGAAGGAAAAGCCCAGGAAAGACCUAUUCCAACUGGAGAUGGAAUAUGAAGGGAGAAUGAAACAAAACUGCUCCGCUCAGGGAACUUGGAAAGGAAAUUGAAAAGGCAAGGCACAGGCUGGAAGAAAAUAUUUGAAAAAGAUUUAUGUGAACUUCUUUCUGGAUUAUACAAAAUAUUUUUAGAUAUUCUUACAACUCUAAAAUAAGAUAACUCCUUAAAAAUGUGAAUUCUACCAAAGGAGAGAUGAAGAUGACGAAUAUAUUCAAAGAUGCUGAAAAUCACUUAUUUAUUAUUAGGAAGUUACAAGCUAAAGCAUAAUGAGAUACCACUACAACCUACUAAACUGACUAAAAUUAAUCAGACUAACCAGGUGUUGGCAAGAAACAGGGACACUGAGACUCUCACACUGCUGGAAGGAAUGUAAAAUGCUAAAACUUCUUUGGAAAUGAGUUCAGUAACUUUUUAAACAGUUGAAAAUAGACCUAUCAUGCAAACCAGCAAUCCCACUUCUAGGUAUUUAUACAAGGAAAAUGACAACAUAUGCCCACAUAAAGACUUGUGCACAAAUGACGGUAGCAGCUUUGUGAUAAUUGCUAAAAACUAGAAACUUGUCAAGUGUCCAACAGGUGAGUGGACAAACUCACUAUAG
rnacentral:antisense_RNA from 1 species